CGCAAUUAUUAUAUUCCUAUUAAAAAAAAAUAAAAUAAAAAAAAGCAAGGGUGGAGGGGCGUAAAGCAAAACACCCAGAAGGAAAAGAAUGCGCCGUCGACUAAUUUAAACCAGUUCGAGUGGACGGGCUGUCAGUUCUGUGGCUCUGAGCUUGCUGUGCUGUGAGGAGCUUGGGAUAGGAACCGUGACCGCCCCCAGAUCGACCUUGUUCUACAAAAAGUGGAAUUCAGGAUGACUGAAAUGAAUGUAACUACAAAAAACUCAAACAACCAAAUGUGUACAUAUCAUUGUGCAAAAACAGUCAUUUCAUCACUCACUGAUGAUCAGCUCUGAUUUAUUUGAACAGACUCUCAGCGUCUGCCUUUCCUUCUUGCCCAGGACUUGAGUUCAGCAGGAGUUUUUCUUAGGCAAGGUCUUCAGGCUCUGACCCAGACAUAUCCAUCUGCAACAACAACAACUGGAAAGGGCUGUGUGCAUUGUAAUAGCGGAGUGAAUCAGAAAUACGGAGGAAGACUUUAAGUUUCCAUUUGUUCACAAACUCCUGUGCUUUGAUAUGACUGUAGGGCAUUUAGAAAUUUUUACACAUAGUGUUUGAAAUGUCCCAUGGAGGGGUGGGAUAACUCAGCACUGCAGCCUAAACCCACCCAAAUGCCCCACAGUGGCAUCUGAACAUUUCCUUGGAAGAAUGUCCUGGUGUCUUUUUCAUGCUGUUCUGACUUUGUUCUCAUGAAUAAUGGAACAAACACAGCGGUGCAGCCAGGACAAAUGUCACACCAAAUUCAUCAGGCAGACAGCAGCAGCAACACCAUUGGGUGUUCACCGUGCUAAAACAGGGCUAGGAAGCCUGGACCAGCGAGAAAGACACCUGGUUGGGAUGUACCUCUCAGCGAUCUCCCUGCUUUCCAGCAGUUUUUCCUAAUGACAUUUCUUUCAGAUUCCUGACUCUUCCAGUUCUUCUCAAUGUGCAACAUCACAGCUGUAUGCCUGUGGAACAGCGUGGAAAGGGACAAAUCCUCAGGAAUUUUGGAUCUGCAGCCUUCAAUCAGCCUCGGGGGAGCUGUCCAGGCUCAGAAGACAUCCAUCAAGUUCUUACUCCAAACAAAUCCUCUGUCAUCUGCCUCAUCCCGUACCCUCUGAAGCCGGUGGGAGUCCUACCAGAUAAUUCAAUAGAAAUUGGCCCAGGACUCACCUAAAUCACACCUGUUCCUUACUACAUAACGUGAUAAGCUGCAAAGGUUUGUUUUUUAAUUGGACACUUAAUACCAGCUUUGGCAGGUGAUUAAACUGUGAUUUACUUCCAAGGGAGAUAAGAAGUAAAUUUCAAAGGAGUUCUGGCUAUGUGGUUUAACAGCACAGUGAUUACACAGGGACAUUUUGGAAGAACAGGGCAAGGUAAGGAAGAACCAGGCAUGGGAGUUAUUUUUGUUCCUACACUCAGAAGACUACAUGCGAUUAGAAAACGACAACAAAUUAGAGCAACGUUUAAGCAGUUAGAAAGUUAGAGAUUCUGACUGGACAUCAAAAUUGCCUUACAAAUGUUUAAUCAGGAGCCAAUGAGGAAUGUGUUUCCUCUCCAGCUGAAAUGGAAGCAGCCAGUGCUAUCAGAACGUCGAUGUAUACAAAUCAAACAGUAAAGCUUAGCUGUCUCCCAUGGGUAAAAUAAAGAGGCAUGAAGUAGGGACUUGUCAGUCAUCAAAGCCCUUAUUAAUAGCAACUGCUGCUUAAGGAGCGUGGCUUCUCGUUGUUGCAAGCAGGAAGUUAUAGCACUCCAAUGAGAAAGCAAACAUUUCAUUUCAUGCAAAGCGAGCGUUACAUGUCAGAAUGAAAAAAAAAAGAAAGUAUGGGGAAAACAGAUUGCACUAGAAGUCUGCACAUGGGAUAUUAAUAAAGACUUUUUUUUUGCAUUCUGCAUGACAAAAAAUAACAUUAUCAAGCACAGGAUUAAAAUAGUCUAACUGUUAUCAGGGCAAAUUUGCAAUGAGGAAAGAGCAAGAGUUCACACCUGUCAAUAGAUGGGUUUCAUCUGCCACACUCACCUGGUUGCUCAGCAAAUCUUUUGGUAUUUUGCAAGGACUAAUUUCAACUGUAUGCUUCUGUUCAGCUGGUUGAGAUUACUGUAGGCUUCUUUGUGAAGGUGUCAGCUGCAGUCCUCUGUGUAGAAGGCAUCAUAGGUACUUGGGUUAAGAAAACUCUAUGACAGGGCCCAGGGUAGUCUAUCUUCUGUACUCAGAUAUGGAUGAUAGGUGCUGUUUUGGGCAUAGAACAAAGUGCCUGAAUGUGGCUGCUGUUCUGGGCUAGGCUAUCCCUACUGAGGCUUUCUUUUCCUCCACUUCGCUGGUGUUUCCACAUAUCCAGCAUGAAUACUGUUCUAGGUCCAUUUUAAAUGAGAUGUAGAAUUUUAAAAGUAGUACAACAGCAGUAACAGAGGCAACACGUAUUUCUACAGGAAGACAUGGUUGCUUUGGGAUGGAACUACAAAAUGGAAGAGCAAUGUGACGUGAACGAGAAUAUGAUCUGAUAACAAAAUAAAAGCAGUCUCAAAAAUCAUUAAA